rnacentral:misc_RNA from 1 species
GAUGAAGAACGUAGCGAAAUGCGAUAAGUAAUGUGAAUUGCAGAAUUCAGUGAAUCAUCGAAUCUUUGAACGCACAUUGCGCCCGCCAGUAUUCUGGCGGGCAUGCCUGUUCGAGCGUCAUUUCAACCAUCAAGCCCCCGGCUUGUGUUGGGGACCUGCGGCUGCCGCAGGCCGUGAAAUGCAGUGGCGGGCUCGCUGUCACUCCGAGCGUAGUAGUUACAUCUCGCUCUGGGCGUGCUGCGGGUUCCGGCCGUUAAAAGCCUUAUUUACCCAAGGUUGACCUCGGAUCAGGUAGGAAGACCCGCUGAACUUAAGCAUAUCAAUAAGCGGAGGA